rnacentral:piRNA from 1 species
UUCCAAGACUUUUGGGAACGUGUACUAACA